GCAGUCGAGCGAGCUUGCCUAGAUGAUUUUAGUGCUUGCACUAAAUGAAACUAGAUACAAGCGAGCGGCGGACGGGUGAGUAACACGUGGGUAACCUGCCCAAGAGACUGGGAUAACACCUGGAAACAGAUGCUAAUACCGGAUAACAACACUAGACGCAUGUCUAGAGUUUGAAAGAUGGUUCUGCUAUCACUCUUGGAUGGACCUGCGGUGCAUUAGCUAGUUGGUAAGGUAACGGCUUACCAAGGCAAUGAUGCAUAGCCGAGUUGAGAGACUGAUCGGCCACAUUGGGACUGAGACACGGCCCAAACUCCUACGGGAGGCAGCAGUAGGGAAUCUUCCACAAUGGACGAAAGUCUGAUGGAGCAACGCCGCGUGAGUGAAGAAGGGUUUCGGCUCGUAAAGCUCUGUUGGUAGUGAAGAAAGAUAGAGGUAGUAACUGGCCUUUAUUUGACGGUAAUUACUUAGAAAGUCACGGCUAACUACGUGCCAGCAGCCGCGGUAAUACGUAGGUGGCAAGCGUUGUCCGGAUUUAUUGGGCGUAAAGCGAGUGCAGGCGGUUCAAUAAGUCUGAUGUGAAAGCCUUCGGCUCAACCGGAGAAUUGCAUCAGAAACUGUUGAACUUGAGUGCAGAAGAGGAGAGUGGAACUCCAUGUGUAG
rnacentral:rRNA from 1 species